AAGUAAGUAAAAGAAAGAAAGAAAGAGAUAGUGGCUCAAGUCUCAAACUCAAUCAAAAGCACCAAACCAAAGUUACCAAACUUCUCAUCACCAAAAGAGAGAAGAAGAAGAAAGAAACAGAGAAUCGCCAUGGCAGAGAAAGAGAAGAAAACAAAAAAGAAGAAGAAGAAAGAGAAGCAUCAAUCUUCCGACAUCUCUUUCAAGCCUUCUUCAGACGUAAAAGGACUCAAAUUCGGCGGCCAAAUAAUCGUCAAAUCAUUCACAAUCCGACGAGCAAGAACAUUCGAGCUUCUUAAACUCCUCUCUCUCCCUUCUUCAUCAUCACCGCCGCUUCUUUCCACGGCGGCUUACCUUCCGACAAACUUCACAAUCCUUGCACACCACGCAUGGCACACACUAACACUAGGUCUCGGAACAAGAAAGUCCAAAGUUGUGGUCUUCGUGUUCGAAACAGAGGCGAUGAAAUCAUCCGUUGUGGCGGCGGAAGGAGGAAUCUGGCCAUCGGAGAUUC
rnacentral:sRNA from 1 species